AGCACUUUUAUCAUGCCGCGUCUAGGCCGUGACGGAAACACGCCAGGGCUCCAUUGUUUACACCAGAGAUCAGCUGAUGAAUCUCCAGCACAGCGGGAUGUAUGGCCAGCGACACGAAAUCCCCAAAGAGCUGAGGAGGAAACAACGCGGAAGCAGAGGGGGCAAAAGAAGACAGCUGAGGAAAAGAAGAUACAAGCCGUAUCUUCCUUCUAUCGUCAUGGGUAAUGUUAGAUCACUGGGUAAUAAGAUGGAAGAGUUAACAUCUCUCACAAAGAGCGAGUGUGUGUUUCGUGAGGCGUCUGUAAUGUGCUUUACAGAGACGUGGCUGCACGCAAACAUACCGGACUCUACCGUGAGUUUAGCCGGCUUUCAGUUGGUACGGGCGGACAGGAACUGCACCGAGAGCGGCAGGAAGAAAGGAGGGGGACUUGCGCUCUACGUGAACAACCGGUGGUGCAGCCCGGGACACGUUACGGUAAAGGAGCGUGUGUGCAGCCCGGACAUUGAACUGCUAGCGGUGAGUCUACGUCCGUAUUAUUUGCCCAGAGAGUUCUCUCACGCCAUUGUACUCGUUGUUUACAUUGCUCCCUCGGCGGAGGCGUCGCGGGCUACUGACGUCAUCAGCUCUGUGACCGCGAGGCUUCAGACCCAGCACCCUAAUGCCUUCAUAGUGAUUUCUGGCGAUUUUAACCAUGUUAAUCUGAAAUCAACUCUGCCCACUUUCAAGCAGUUUGUGGACUGUAAAACAAGAGAAAAUAAAACUCUAGAUUUACUGUAUGCUAAUGUUAAAGAGGCAUACAGCUCCAUAGCUCUCCCUCCCUUGGGCAGAUCAGACCAUAGCCUAGUCCACCUCAAACCCCAGUAUAUACCAGCAGUACAGCGGCAGCCGGUGACCACCAAAACUGUACGGAGGUGGACACCGGAAGCCCUGGAGACCCUGCAGGGAUGUUUUGAGGUGACUGACUGGGAUGUGUUCUGUGACACCCACGGUGAGGAUGUAGACACACUCACAGACUGUAUCACAGAAUAUGUUAAUUUUUGUACAGAUUCUCUAAUCCCCACCAGGUCAAUACGCUGCUUUCCAAACAAUAAACCAUGGGUGACAAAGGAC
rnacentral:lncRNA from 1 species